rnacentral:rRNA from 1 species
AACGAACGCUGGCGGCAGGCCUAACACAUGCAAGUCGAGCGCGCCUUUCGGGGUGAGCGGCGGACGGGUUAGUAACGCGUGGGAAUAUACCUAAAGGUAGGGAAUAGCCUCUGGAAACGGAGAGUAAUACCCUAUGUGCCCUUCGGGGGAAAGAUUUAUCGCCUUUGGAUUAGCCCGCGUUAGAUUAGAUAGUUGGUGGGGUAAUGGCCUACCAAGUCUACGAUCUAUAGCUGGUUUUUAG